rnacentral:lncRNA from 1 species
UUUUUUUUUUUUUUUUGCUUUUUAGAGCUGUACCUGUGGCUUAUAGAAGUUCCCAGGCUAGGGGAGAGACAGAUCAAGAUGACAGAGAAGUAAUACGUCACACUCAACUGCUCCCACAAACACAUCAAAAAAACACAUCUACAUGUAGAAUGAUUCACACAGAACAUCUACUGAAUGCUGGAAGAACUUAAACCUCCAAAAAGGGCAAGAAACCCUCCACAUAACUGGGUACAACAAAAGAAAAAAAAAAAGAGAAAAGGAAUCAGGAUGGGGCUAGCACUCCUUAGAGGGAGCUGUUAAAAAGAAAAGGAACCCACACCCUGGGAAGUCACCUAACGGACAGGGAGAUCAGCCAAGAUGAAGGGACCUCAAAGUUGCUAAGAAAAGCACAGCAACUGGACUGAGCAGGGCAAAGCAGAGUGAGAGCCGCACAGGUCAUCUGUGCCACCCCCUGGGACACCACAGCCUAAGAUGCUCGAGCGGGGGCUGGGCACAGAGACUCAUGCUCGGGAGGCCAGGUCCAGAGAGAGGACUAAGGUUGGCUGUGGGGAGACAGCCUGAGGGGCCUAGGGAAUGAUGUUCCACGGGCUGGGGAGCAGAAUGCCAUGGCCAAGGGAAGCUGGAGGAGGCUGGGCCCACAGGAGAAGUAAGGCACCAUUGUUGGGGAGGGCAAGAGGUGGGGGGUGGACCACCAUAGGAAUCUCUGUCUUUGCAUAUGUGUGGGCUCUCUGAGGAUGGGGUGCCUCUAGUGCAGGCUACGGGUGGUAAGAAGCCACUUUCUUGGGCUAUGGGAGACCAGGCGCCUGUUGUGCAAGCUAUGGGUGGCCCCAUCAUCUUCUGUGUAGGCUAAGGUCAGCAGAGGUGCCAAACACAAUAGGGCCCCUCCUGCAUGAUCUACAGGUGGUGGGGACAAACAACAGUCAUCUCAGAAAUCAGAGGGAGGUGUGGCCUGCCACCACCAGAGAUCUGUGAACAGGCUCCACCUUUGGCCCCAGUCACCUCAGAGGUUGGUGAAAAAGAAGGCACUGCAAUUGAGCAUCACCCAUUGUUGCUCUCACUCCCCAAGAACACACCUGCCCUGCUGCUGCCACUGCCAAAAUCUCCAGGCAGCACCCACACAUGACUGAUCACUUCACAGGACCCUGCAACUAGGAGCAGCCUGUGCAGCACCUCCUGCAUGGGCUAAGCAGGACCAGGUGCUUCUUGCAUGGUCUACAGGUGGCAGAGGCAAGCCACCACAGUUAUCUCUGACUCCAGGGAUGGGCAUGGCCCACCACCAUUAGGGGUCAAUGAACAGGCACCACUUGUGACCCCAAUCACCUCAUAGGGCACCAAAGAGGAGGGCAUUGUGACUGAACACCACCCAUUGUUGCUCUCACUCCCCUGGGAACUCACACACCCUACCACUGCCAAAUGCUCUGGGCACCUCCUAAAUCUGCCUGAGGCUCAUUUCUUCUUCCCAGGGCCCUGCACUACCCUCCUGAAGGUCCUUGCUACUGUCAAGAGCACAGCCACCAGACAUUGACUACUAGCCCUGCCCAUUGCCUCCUUCUCCCUAGAAACACACUCAGGGGGAUAAGAGCCUGCUCACACCAAAGAAAGAGAUAGCAAAUAUCCAAACUCCCAUGCCAAAAAUAAAGAGUAACUCCCUACAAAAUACAAAGGGGCACUCCUGCAUAGAAAUAGCUCUCCCAGAAUACAGUAGCUGGUUUCCCUAAACUCACAGAAAAAAAAUACAUGUAUAAGUGAAAUGAAGAAGCUCAGGAACCAUUCCCUGUUAAAAGAAAAGACGAAUUCACCUGAAGCAGCAAACAAUGAAAGAGACCUCUGCAAUCUAAUAGACACUGACUUCAAAAGGGACAUAGUGAAAAUACUGAAAGAAUUAAGGGUGAAUAUGAAGGAAUUGAGAGUGGAUAUAAAGAGUAAUACAGAUUAUUUUAGAAAGGAACUAAAAAAUAUAAGGAGGAGCCAAGAAGAAUUAGAAAAAUCAUUUGUGGAGAUGCAAACUGAGUUAAAGGCACUACAGAGCAGAAUGAAUGAAUGCAGAGGAACGAAUUAGUGACUCAGAAGAUAGACUAAUGGAAAUCAUCCAAUCAGGACAGCAGACUGAAAACCAAAUGAAAAAACAUUAAAGUAAUAGAAGAGAUCUAUGGGAUAAUGUAUAGGAGGCCAAUCUAUGCAUAAUAGGAAUUCCAGAAGAAGAAAAAGGGGAUUGAAAAUAUAUUGAAUAAAUUAUGUCUGAAAACUUUCUAAUCUAAAGGAAACUGAUAUCAAGAUAUAGGAAUCACAGAAGUGCCCCAAACAAGUUGAACCCAAACAGGCCCACACCAAGACAUAUUAUAAUAAAAAUGGCAGACGUUAAAGACAGGAUUCUAAAGGCAGCAAGAAAAACACAAAGCAUUAAUUAUAAAGGAAUCCCCAUAGAAUUACCAGCUGAUUUCUCUACAAAAACACUACAGGCCAGAAGAGAGUGGCAAGAUAGACUCAAAGUUCUGAAAGGGAAAAUCUUGCAGCCUAGAAUUCUCUACCUAUUAAGAAUAUCAUUUAAAAUAGAAGAAGAAAUAAAGAAUUUCUCCAACAAACAAAAGCUAAAAGAGUAUAGCAAUACUACACCCAUACAAAAAGGAAUACUGAAAGGGCUUCUCUAAAUUAAAAAGAAGUAAGAAGAAAUAGGAUGGAGGAAAUAACAAUUUGAAAGCAAUCACUUAAAUAAGCCAGUGUGCAGAUCUAAAGGGAAAAAGAAAACCUAUUGUAAAAGUGAGGAUAAA